CUGCUCCCCACAUUCCUUGCUGUCUGCAGUUGAAGCACCCCGUGCUUGUGUGCAAGCUGCCAGGGAGAAAAGGAAGCAGUUUAUGAGAACCAGCUAGGACAGCCGUUUGCGAACGGUCCCAGACAGAGAAGCGACAGGAGACACGGUGCUCCUUCAUAAGGCACCGCCAAGAGCCAACAGAUGGUCCGAAGAGGCACCCCAGAAAGUCUGGGGGACCCCGAUAAGACGCGGCUGGAUGCCGCGGAGUUUCCAGAAGGAUAUCAAGGAGCCAGCUGAACUGCCCACAUAAACCCGGUAGGGACACCGCCUUUUCGAAGAGCUGGGAGCCAAGGAGCCAUGGGCUCCUGCUCUCUCCACCUCUACCCCGGCGGGGUGGGCACCCCGAUGAAGGCAAUCCUCCUGGGGACCGUGACGCUGAAAGAAUAAGCCUACAGUUUUGAAUCUCCAGCCACAAGAGAACCACUGGGAGGAAGGAAGAAGAGGUGCCUGGUUUGGGGAUUAUUUUGACAGAGUCUGAACAGAAUUGGCGCUGAUCCAGUAAACAGAGACAGAGCAUCUCUGUGUCACGCAGUGUCCUAAGGAACAAAUAAAAUGAUCAACGCUCAGAAAUCAGUGGCAGUCAGCGACGUGGCUAUAAAGUUCACCUGGGAGGAGUGGCAGCUCCUGGACCCUGCUCAGAAGACCCUCUAUCAGGAUGUGAUGUUGGAGACCUACCGCCACCUGGUUUCCAUCGGUUAUCAAGUUAGCAAACCUGAUGCGUUCUCUUGGUUGGAUCGAGAAGAACCACCCAGGUCUAUGGUAGGAAAAAGCGAUGGUGGAAUUUGUUCAGGUGAGUGAGCAAAAAACAGUAGUGGAGAAUGAUUGUAGAAGUCACAUUUAGCUGAGAAAAGGGCUUAUAUCUGCGAGACCUGUUUAAUAAUACGUUCCACUUUCGUGUAUCCCUGUCCAUUCGUGAGACCCCUUUUUCAGAUCAUUUGUUUGCCCCGAAGUCAGUUGGACAGGCAGCAACAUUGUUACGUACAUUUAGGGGCUCUGUUCUUGGAGAAGGGUCAAAGGACACCUGCGAGUUAGCCUACAAAAACCUCACAUCGGGUGGCAUUGCUGAGCUUUCUUGACAUACACGGGAGAACUGCAAGGGCUGAGAGUUUUCUCAAUCUGGUCAUCUUUUGGCUUUUCCUGAAUUAAUUUGUGUAAUGCCUGCAGUUUUUCUUUAUUAAGGGACCACUGGUAUAUCCAUAUUGCUUCUUUGGAUUUCCAAGAUGGUUUAAUGGGUUCAGGCUUCCUAACAGCAGCCCUGAUGACAGAAUGUGACUUUUCUGAUCUAUACCGUAUAUUUAGGAGUGGCCUCCAUGAGGAAAAGAGCGCUCUGUUCAUUUUUCCGAGACCUUCCCCUUUAUAGCCUCUUUUCCUCAUCAUGUUUCAGGGGCAGGGAGCUGGACUACAGGCUUCAUUAAACCAGACU